rnacentral:rRNA from 1 species
CGUGUAGGCGGUCUUUUAAGUCUGAUGUGAAAGCCCCGGGCUCAACCUGGGAAGUGCAUUGGAAACUGGGAGGCUUGAGUACGGGAGAGGAGAGUGGAAUUCCUAGUGUAGGAGUGAAAUCCGUAGAUAUUAGGAGGAACACCGGUGGCGAAGGCGACUUACUGGACUGUAACUGACGCUGAGGCGCGAAAGUGUGGGGAGGCAAAACA